UUUACUUCAUUCUUCUCCAUUCUCCCAUUCUUCUCCCAUUCUUCUUCCUUCUACUUCUUCUCCAUUCUUCUUCCUUCUAAUUUUUUUACCUCCUGCCCUUUUACAUUAUGCCUUCUCCAUUCUUCUUCAUUCUACGGUAUAAAAUUUUCACAUUCUUCUAUCAUUCUUCUUCCUUACUAAAAUUUUCACCCUCUCGACCUUCUUUCCAUCAUUUACAGGUGAAAUUUUUUCAGUCAUUUUUCUUUCCAUCGUUUUUCAUUCUUUUCUUAUCAUUACUUAAUUAUUUUUGGGUUUGGCUAUCAUCCUCCCAAUAAAUAUAAAACUUUUUUAUAUUAGGUAACUCAAAAUUUUUUAAUUUAUUUAUAUAAAUAUUCACUAUUUUCUUGUAUUAUAUUUUCAGAUUUGAUUGUUGUUGGAAAAUAUUUUGUUCUUGUUUGGAUAUUUUUCUUAAAGUAUCGUGGAUUGACAACAAUAAAUGAGCAGGACCGUCCUCAAAAUUUGUAAGUUUUUUUUAAAACUAAUUAUGUAAUUGUAUUAUGAAAGGUAUGUUAUGCGUAGGUGUAAUUUAUAUUAUCAACGUUUUAUUAGCAUUAAAUAUGAUUGAUAAAUUAGUUUGAUAAAAACAAACAAAUGUUGACUCAUCGUACUCAAAUUUGUUUCAAAUAGUCAUUUUAUUAACAUUAAGAAUGAAAUUGG
rnacentral:lncRNA from 1 species